rnacentral:ribozyme from 12 species
CACACACACACACACACAAAAAAAAAAAAAAAAAAAAAAAAAAAAAAAAAAAAAAAAUCUUCAUCUUCCUUUUCUUUACA